rnacentral:rRNA from 1 species
AUUGAACGCUGGCGGCAGGCCUAACACAUGCAAGUCGAGCGAGCGGGGGACGGGUGAGUAAGGUAUGGGGAUCUGCCCGAUAGAUGGGGUUAACUACUGGAAACGGUGGCUAAUACCGCAUACUAGCGGCUGAACCCAUAUGGCAUUAGCUAGUAGGUGGGGUAAAGGCACACCUAGGCGACGAUCUCUAGCUGGUCUGAGAGGAUGAUCAGCCACACUGGGACUGAGACACGGCCCAGACUCCUACGGGAGGCAGCAGUGGGGAAUAUUGCACAAUGGGCGAAAGCCUGAUGCAGCCAUGCCGCGUGUAUGAAGAAGGCCUUCGGGUUGUAAAGUACUUUCAGCGGGGAGGCGUUACCCACAGAAGAAGCACCGGCUAACUCCGUGCCAGCAGCCGCGGUAAUAC